rnacentral:rRNA from 1 species
AGCGAACGUUAGCGGCGGGCUUAACACAUGCAAGUCGAACGAGAAUGGGGGGGCAACUCCUCUAGUAAAGUGGCGGACGGGUGCGUAACACGUGGACAAUCUACCUUCCGGCGGGGGACAACAGUUCGAAAGGACUGCUAAUACCGCGUACGACCUCGGGGGCCCUGGCUCCUGAUGAGAAAGACGGCCUCUCCUUGGAAGCUGUCACCGGAAGAUGAGUCCGCGGCCCAUCAGCUAGUUGGUGAGGUAAUGGCUCACCAAGGCUAAGACGGGUAGCUGGUCUGAGAGGAUGAUCAGCCACACUGGGACUGCGACACGGCCCAGACUCCUACGGGAGGCAGCAGUGGGGAAUAUUGGGCAAUGGGCGAAAGCCUGACCCAGCCACGCCGCGUGAGUGAUGAAGGCCUUCGGGUCGUAAAGCUCUGUGGGGAGGGGCGAAUAAGUUUGCAUCUAACACAUGCGAACCCUGACGGUACCUCCUUAGCAAGCACCGGCUAACCAUGUGCCAGCAGCCGCAGUAACAC